UACAGAGGUCUCAAGCGUUUGUUCGGAUUCAUUGGGCGUAAAGGGUGCGUAGGUGGCGCCGUAAGUCGGGUGUGAAAUUUCGGAGCUUAACUCCGAAACUGCAUUCGAUACUGCGGUGCUUGAGGACUGGAGAGGAGACUGGAAUUCCUGGUGUAGCGGUGGAAUGCGCAGAUAUCAGGAGGAACACCGGUGGCGAAGGCGGGUCUCUGGGCAGUAACUGACGCUGAGGAGCGAAAGCGUGGGGAGCGAACAGG
rnacentral:rRNA from 1 species